UCUAUUGGUGAUGUGGUUCACGGAGUAAGUUCCUUACACUACAGAGCUUCUGGUUUCAAGGGGGUUACCCAAACUGUUUAGCGAGACUUCUUCCGCUUUUCUCCGUGCCUCUCGGUUUUGUUUUUUUUUUUAAUCCGGAUGUGAUGCAUUCAAGGACUCGACGGAAGUAGAACCGAAGGCAUUCUAAAAUGGCGACCCGUCUAGUGAAGGAUGCACACAGCAUCCACGGCACCAACCUUCAGCAUCUGGUGGAGAAGUUCAUUCGAACACGAAUCUAUGAGUCCAACUACUGGAAAGAUGAGUGCUUUGGACUUACGGCUGAUCUUGUAGAGAAUAAAGCCAUUAAGUUAAGAUUUGUGGGUGGCGUCUAUGGUGGCAACACAAAACCAACUCCCUUUCUGUGUUUAACCUUGAAGAUGCUUCAAAUUAAACUCAAGAAGGAUAUCAUUGUAGAGUUCAUCAAAAAUGAAGAUUUCAAGUAUGUCCGCGUGUUGGGGGCAUUUUACAUGAGGCUGACAGGCACUGCAAUUGAUUGCUACAAGUACUUGGAGCCUUUGUACAAUGACUAUCGAAAAAUCAAGAUCCAGAACGGAGAUGGGGAUUUCGAACUGAUGCAUAUAGAUGAGUUUAUUGAUGAACUACUGCACAGCAAGAGAAUGUGUGGUAUCACUCUGCCCUGGCUACAGAAACGCUAUGUGCUAGAGGAAGCUGAGCAACUGGAGCCUCGAGUUAGUGCUCUAGAAGAGGGCAUGGAUGACGUGGAGUCCAGUGAAGAGGAAGAUGAGGGAGUGGCAUCACCUGACCACCGCCAGAGAAGCUACCAAGACUUGGACAAGCCCCAUUGCUCUCCUACGCUGAGCUACGGGAGGAGUAAGAGCCAGUCUUCCAAAAGACAAGAGUCCAUCUCCCCAAAGGAGAAGCCCCUCCCUCCGUCGAGAAAAGCAGGGGAGCAAGAGUCCAAGACAUCGUCGCAACAAGUCCCGAGAUCAACGGCACAGAUCCCGCUCCAAGUCCCGAGGUCAUCACCAUAGUCACAGACACAGGAGCCAUUCAAAGACGAAAAGCCACAAGAAGAGCCGGAAAGGGAAUGAGUAAUGGCCUCAGUUUGCUUUAAGCCCAAAUGGCCUCCUGGGGAUAUGAGGGUAUCUAUGUGGAAGGAUUAAGAUCUCCAACCCAGGUAGCUAUAAGAAUAUUUUAGUUUUUUCUUAUCAAGUUUCUCCAUUUUUUUUUUAAAUGAAAGAGAUGCUGAGUUUUGUAUCUCUGUUUGAAUCGUAAUC